GAGUUUGAUCAUGGCUCAGAUUGAACGCUGGCGGGAUGCUUUGCACAUGCAAGUCGAACGGCAGCACGACUUCGGUCUGGUGGCGAGUGAAGAACGUGAGUAAUGUAUCGGAACGUGCCUAGUAGCGGGGGAUAACUAUGCGAAAAGGUAGCUAAUACUGCAUACGGCCUCUUCUCGGGGAAAGCGGGGACCUUCGGGCCUCGCACUAUUAGAGCGGCCGAUAUCGAUUAGCUAGUUGGUGGGGUAACGGCUCUGUUAUCGAUCCGUAGUUGGUUUGAGAGGACGACCAGCCACACUGGGAUCGAGACACGCCCAGACUCCUACGGAGGCAGCAGUGGGGCUUUGGACAAUGGGGAAAAUCCUGAUCCGCUCAUCCCGCGUGUGAUGAAGGCCUUCAGUUGUAAAGCACUUUUGGCAGGAAGAAACGGCACGGUACGAUUUUUGUGCAACUGAGUUGCACUGCAGAAUAAGCACCGGCUGCGCCCACGCCAGCAGCCGCGGUAAUACGUAGGUGCGUUAAUCGAAUUACUGGGCUAAAGCGUGCGCAGGCGGUUCGGAAAGAAAAAAGAUGAACCCCAGAGCUUAACUUCAAAUGUAUUUAAUCACCGAGCUAGAGUGUGUCAGAGGGAGGCGUGGAAUCGCGUGUAGCAGUGAACGCGUAGAUAAGGUGGAGGAACACCGAUGGCGAAGGGGUAGCCUCCUUGGGAUAACACUGACGCUCAUGCACGAAAGCGUGGUGGAGCAAAACAGGAUUAGAUACCCCGGUAGUCCACGCCCUAAACGAUGUCAACUAGCUGUUGGGGCCUUCGGCCUCGGUAGCGCAGCUAACGCGUGAAGUUGACCGCCUGGGGAGUACGGUCGUAAGAUUAAAACUCAAAGGAAUUGACGGGGACCCGCACAAGCGGUGGAUGAUGUGGAUUAAUUCGAUGCAACGCGAAAAACCUUACCUACCCUUGACAUGACCUGAAUCCCGAAGAGAUUUGGGAGUGCUCGCAAGAGAACCGGAACACAGGUGCUGCAUGGCUGCGUCGUCAGCUCGUGUGGGUCGAGAGAUGUUGGGUUAAGUCCCGCAACGAGCGCAACCCUUGUCAUUAGUUGCUACGAAAGGGCACUCCCAUCGAGACUGCCGGUGACAACCCCGGGAGGAAGGUGGGGAUGACGUCAAGUCCUCAUGGCCCUUAUGGGUAGGGCUUCACACGUCAUACAAUGGUCGGGACAGAGGGUCGCUAACUCCGCGAGGGGGAGCCAAUCCCAGAAACCCGAUCGUAGUCCGGAUCGCAGUCUGCAACUCGAUCGCGUAGUCGGAAUCGCCAGUAAUCGCGGAUCAGCAUGUCGCGGUGAAUACGUUCCGGGUUCCUGUACAUAAUUGCCCGUCACAAUAUGGAGGGUUUUACCAGGCGUUAGCCUAACCGCAAGGAGGGCGAUUACCACGGUAGAUUCAUGACUGGGGUGAAGUCGUAACAAGGUAACCGCCGAUCACCUUUUGAUGCUCCCA
rnacentral:rRNA from 1 species